rnacentral:sRNA from 1 species
UUUUAGCCCUGAUUGCAGUGGAAAUCCCGCAGUAAGCGUUGGGUUAAGUAAUGGAACGAGGAAUUGCAACGGAAAGCAGGACUGAGU